GAAAUUGCUAUAACAUCACUACCACAUUGUCUUAUUAGUGCACACUAUCAAGAGUAAGAUCGACCACGAAAGACAUUCAGGUUCACUUCAAAGGAAAACUUGUUGAGCCAAGACACCAGAGAGAGAGAGAGAGAGAGAGAGAGAGAGAGAGAGAGAGAGAGCGAGCGCUAAACACAUACACAGACUGAGUCAACUAUGGACUGUGUUCUUUUGCUGGCAAUUAUGCUCUGUGCUUCGUUUUCAACGCUCUUUCUGUAUGUCCUGUAUAAAGUACUCGACAAAGUGUUGACUGACAACAACUGUACAUUCCCCUUGUGCCCAUGCUACCAACCUCCUGAUGAUCAUCACGAUGAUGACUCUAACACGGCCUACCAAACAGGGCCUUACAGACAAGCCAAAGAGAAGCCUGACUGAUAGUACAAUACAAUGCAAAGGCAAAAGCAAAACUGCUAAACAAUUAUACAGGGAAACGAUUGCGUGUAAUUAUAAGCUGCACUAAUAAAAGAU